rnacentral:lncRNA from 1 species
CGGCGCCCGCGCACAGCGGCGGCCGGGCGGAGGCGCCGGCCGAGCGGGCGCCCGCGGGCUGCGUAACGCCCUGUCGAAAGCGGACGCCAUAUUUUUUUGUGGCUGUGUCGACACAGAGCGACGUAGACAUGUUUUCCUCUCCUCCUCGGUCUGGCUUGCCUCCGCGCCAACUUGCCGUCAGAACUCUUCUGGGGAGGCCGCCGAGCCCUGCGUUCAUGACCCCAGGACUGAUGGCUCCCUGCUGACCUGUUGAAUCUGUCUCCCCUUGGACCGUUAUCCCACACCGCUGGAUGGGAGCGCAUCUGCCGGACCCACCUCUGAAGGUCAGCACCAAGCCCAGAACCGGGGCCAGAGCAAGUGCUCAGCAAACAUCUGGCAGAUGAACAAGCGGGCGCUCGCCUCUCCCAGCCACCGGGCAGCCCCAGAAGCAGGUGUCAUUGUGCUCCCGCCACCAGACUGAGAAACCAGACUCAGAGACGAAAGGCAGCACUUCCAAAAGGGCAGGAACAAGUUUGAGACCCUGUUUUAUCUUUAUUUGUCUUUAUUAGAGUGCCAUGAGCGUUCCCUCAUGGCCACGCAUUCUGUCUCUCGUGUAUGUUUGUGUGCGGGUUUACUUUGGCAUAGAUGCUCCGAUUCAGGUGACAAAUGAUGGGAGGCAGCAGAGAGCCCCACCCCACUUUUGUUUCCUAGCCACCUGGGUCCCUCUCUGCAAGCAACUGAGGGUGCCAGUUUCUUAUAUAUCCCUCUAGAGCCUGUCUGCACAUAUACAAGGAAACACAUUUAUUUCUUCUCCUCCUUGUAUCUGACUCACGUGGCAGCUUAACAUAAUGCUCCUUAGCUUUUUAAACUUAGUGACAUGCUGCAGAGACCCAUAUCUAUAUGUCCUUUCCACAAUUCGACUGCUAGAGCUGCAUUUUAUUUUUUUAUGGCUGUAGUGUGUCACACUGUAUGUAUAUUUCACAAUUUAUUAAAUCUUCCAGUGACAGAAAUUUUUACCAUUACAAACCACGAGUAACUUUGUACAUGUGUCAAUUCACACAUGCGUGAGUAUGUUUGAAAGAUGCACUUUCAGAAAUGGAAUUGCUGGGAUGAAGGUAAGCAGGAAGAUUUUUUUUUAAAAAGGUCUUGCUAUGUAGUUCAGGCUGGCCUUGAACUCACAGCGAUCCUCCUGCCUCAGCCUCUUCAGUGCUGGGAUCACAGACAUCGCCACCACACCCAGCUACCCUGAGAUUUCUAAGACCCACAAUGGCACGAGACUUGGGCCAUUGUAAUGCCAGUUCAGCAUCCAGACA